CAAAGUAUCAAAACCAGUACCAGGGAAGCUACAAGCUGCCUGAUAAAUGAUAACUGAAUUGAAGCUAGUCAAGGUGAAGCACGCUUCAACAAAAGCUCUGAUGUUUUGAUCCCUUUUCUUUGAGCAUCAGAAGAAGAGUACGGGAGACUGAGGUCUGCACAAAAAAGGACAGGCUUAUAGUAAUCUGCUAUGGAUGACUAAUACCUUUUCUUUAAGCACCAACAAGAACUAAAUGAAUAACAAAGCACCUGCAAAGAGUACAAAAGAAUCAUCAACUUUUGAGUCAAUCUAUCCAUCAUGACAUUUUUAUAUUUCAAAAGAAACUAAAAUGAGACGCUUAAUUGCUUAUCUUCCUUUUUGAGGCAAAGUUCGGUUUAGUCAACUGGGUUUUUUGGCAUAUUUAAUACAUUUUGUAGGUAAUUUGCUUCAUUCUUUUCAAGAGUAAAGAUGAAGACGACUUACAUGCUAAAUCUUAGUCAUAAAAUUGCUCACCAAAAAUCCCCACAGGAACAAACUCCAUCUUUAAAAUGAUGAAAGCGAUUUGUGUCUCUGACAUAUAUUUCUCUUCCUUCAAAGCCAGAUAUAAAUUUUAUAACAGCAUGACAAUCAUCACAGAUUCUGAGAUUUUUUAUUAUCUGCAGUGGAGAGCCCGGAGGAGUAUUCAGAAGCCCUAAGGCUACUGCUAACUUCUCACUAUGUCCACAUAAGAUCUGCUCCUUGUCCUGCUCGUUCACAUCUUGCAACACCAAGUUAGUAUUUGGCAGGUAACCUGUUUUCUUCAUCUCCAAGCUCAAUUUAUGUAACUUCUCAAUGAUCUCAGUCAUUUGUGGAUUUGAUUUAUCUCCAGCAAGAAGUAUGUGCACUUGGUUCUUGAACUCAAUCCAACUGCAACCGGGGUUCUUCUUCAUGCCCCUACUCCUCAUGACAUCUCUCACGGCAUCUACUUGGUCCCACAUGGCCUUAGACGCAUAUAUAUUGGAAAGAAGG
rnacentral:lncRNA from 1 species